CAUUUAUUUUAUAUUUACCCUAUUUGUUUUUGUUGUGUCAAAAUGUGAAGUAUAUGUAACCUGGGUGUAAAUUUCUAGCUUUCAUCUACUAAUUUUCUCCGGCUUCUCCAACUCUUUAUUAAAUCACAUGAUAAUCCUGUUAGUAGUGUCGCUCUCUCGAAACCAUGAAGCAACCAAUCACGGCUCAGUUUCCAAGGUCACGUGUAGUAUUGCAGCCUAUCGGCUGGCUAUAUUAAUUUGAGCAGGAAGUUUGAACACUAGAUGCGUUGGGAGGAGCAGAGCUACAGGAGCCGACUACCACCAGACCAGCAAGGAGAGAUGUCAGUUAUGUGUAAAACAAACGGCGGAUCUGGUGAGUGUUGUUUUGACGUAGCGAGUAGCAUUAUGCUUGGCUGUGUGGGACUGAACUAACCCACACUGGGUUGAAUAAUGAAGUUUUAACCUUUCUAAAUUGUAUAUUGAUUGGAUUGAUAAUGAACUUUAUAUAUUGAAUAUGGAUUUGUGUACACAUUAGAAUGACUGAAUUGGAUUUCAAUGUUUAUUGGUCCUGUUUAUUUAUACAGGCCAGAAGAUGGCGAGCUAAAUGUCCAGGCCUAGAGCCAUAAGAAAAGAUUACACUUAUGUGUGAAGAUUUCCGCUCUCCUGCCAGGAUGGUAGGAGGCUCCUUGCAGCCUGAGAAUACUUUUUGUUUCAUCCUGACUCCUGAUUCUCCAUAUUGGACCUUACCCAAAGCCAACUUGUCUUGGGAUCUGUGUACCCCAGUUAUUUUGGGUUUUGUCAUUUAUUUUGUUUUUCUUUCUUGGUAUUGCGCAUAUUUUUAUUUUUAUUUUUUAUGGUCUUUUAGAUGUCUGUCUGUCUUGUUGAAGUUGUAAGUAUGUAUAAUCAUUGUUGUCUUUCACUGUGAAUAUAACUCACUGGCACACUGCAAAUCUUCAGACUCCGUGUCUCCUUCAUGAGCCGAAUGCUAGUCUUCUGAGAAACCAGCCCAAUUGAUCCAUUUAUUUAAAUUGCGGUAUAUUACAUUCUUUAAAUAUACUACAUGUAGCUUUUGUCGAUUGCUUUAAAACACUGAUUACAUUUUUGGGAAGCAUCAAAUUAUAGUUUAUAUUUGUCUAAAACGUGUUAAAAGGACAAAGAAAGCAAA